UAAGCUCAAGUAAUUACUAUUAAUAUAGAUAUCAUUACAAAAUUUCUAUAUAUAUAUAUAUAUAUAUAUGAAUGGCUUCUCUUGUUCUUCUUGUGUCUCAAUUUCUUAAACACCCAAAUGCAGAUUUGGACUACUCAACGACGUCGUCUUCAAUGUCAGCCAAAAAUGCCGCCGGUGCUCCUUGCUUCACCAAGAAACAGCUACCGGCAACAACUCCGGGCGAUAGGAAAGAGGAUUUUGAAGAAGAUUUAUAUGUGUCGAGCGUUUGUGUUGACCUUUUUUGGCUUUAAUUAAUUAAUUAGAAAUAUGCAUGUAUAUUAUUAUUAUUAUUAUUGUUUUAAUAUAUUUGUUGUUGAUCAACAAACAAUAUUAUAAAGUUAGUUUUUGUUAUUUUUGUGUUUACAUUUCUUGUUAGUUUUUUACGUUUAAAAGUUGGGUGCUGAUAUUAUUUG
rnacentral:lncRNA from 1 species